UACGAAGGGGGCUAGCGUUGUUCGGAAUUACUGGGCGUAAAGCGCACGUAGGCGGACUAUUAAGUCAGGGGUGAAAUCCCGGGGCUCAACCCCGGAACUGCCUUUGAUACUGGUAGUCUCGAGUCCGGAAGAGGUGAGUGGAAUUCCUGGUGUAGCGGUGAAAUGCGCAGAUAUCAGGAAGAACACCCGUGGCGAAGGCGGCUCUCUGGUACGUGACUGACGCUGAGACGCGAAAGCGUGGGGAGCAAACAGG
rnacentral:rRNA from 1 species